GUGCUCACUUUGGCAACACAUAUACUAAAUUCGAAUGAUACAGAGAGUAUUAGCUCAGCCCCUGAGCAAGAAUGACACAAAAAUUUAUGAAGAAAAAUUUCUAGCU